rnacentral:rRNA from 1 species
CUCGGAGUUUGAUCCUGGCUCAGAUUGAACGCUGGCGGCAUGCUUUACACAUGCAAGUCGAACGGUAGAGGGGGCAACCCCCUCGAGAGUGGCGAACGGGUGAGUAAUAUAUCGGAACGUGCCCAGUCGUGGGGGAUAACGUAGUGAAAAUUACGCUAAUACCGCAUACGAUCUAAGGAUGAAAGCGGGGGAUCGCAAGACCUCGCGCGAUUGGAGCGGCCGAUAUCAGAUUAGGUAGUUGGUAGGGUAAAGGCCUACCAAGCCAACGAUCUGUAGCUGGUCUGAGAGACGACCAGCCACACUGGAACUGAGACACGGUCCAGA